UUCUUUGUUUUCUUUAUUAUUGAUAGGAUUUCUCUUGUUAAGACCUUAUGAAUCGAUUAAAACCUCAGAUUCAUACUAGAACCACGAUGAUUCAAUAAAAAAAACCUAACCUAAAUCAAAUCAAGGAUUCUCUGAGUAAGAAUCCUCGGAUCAUCACUUAUUCCCUGAAUAAAUAGAAUGACUAAAAAUUCAAAGAAAGGUUUUGCUUUUGGUCAAAAUAUAAAUUAGGGGUUGAAAGAAAAGAAUCUUUCGAUUUAGAAAUUCGAAUUCUUUGUUUGAAAAUUUUUUGGAGCCCGGACACGGGGUCUGAAUAUUAAGUAUGAAUCAUAGUUCAAAUAUUUCUUAAUCUAUUUCGUGUUCCAAAUAUUAGAAUAAAUAUCUGACGAAGUAGAAUCAUCUCUAUCAAGAUGACAAACUCAUUCUCUGUACUAUCAAUAGGAUCAAUUAUAACAAGUCACACAC
rnacentral:lncRNA from 1 species